UACGUAGGGGGCUAGCGUUGUCCGGAAUCAUUGGGCGUAAAGAGCGUGUAGGCGGUCCGGUAAGUCCGCUGUGAAAGUCGGGGGCUCAACCCUCGAAUGCCGGUGGAUACUGUCGGGCUAGAGUGCGGAAGAGGCGAGUGGAAUUCCUGGUGUAGCGGUGAAAUGCGCAGAUAUCAGGAGGAACACCUAUUGCGAAGGCAGCUCGCUGGGACGUAACUGACGCUGAGAUGCGAAAGCGUGGGGAGCAAACAGG
rnacentral:rRNA from 1 species